AUUGAACGCUGGCGGCAUGCUUUACACAUGCAAGUCGAACGGCAGCACGGACUUCGGUCUGGUGGCGAGUGGCGAACGGGUGAGUAAUACAUCGGAAUGUACCCAGUAAUGGGGGAUAACGCUUCGAAAGGAGUGCUAAUACCGCAUACGCCCUACGGGGGAAAGAGGGGGAUCGCAAGACCUCUUGUUAUUGGAGCAGCCGAUGGCUGAUUAGCUAGUUGGUAGGGUAAAGGCCUACCAAGGCAACGAUCAGUAGCGGGUCUAAGAGGACGAUCCGCCACACUGGAACUGAGACACGGUCCAGACUCCUACGGGAGGCAGCAGUGGGGAAUCUUGGACAAUGGGCGCAAGCCUGAUCCAGCAAUGCCGCGUGCGUGAAGAAGGCCUUCGGGUUGUAAAGCGCUUUUGUCAGGGAGCAAAUCCUUGUGGCUAAUACCCACCGGGGAUGAGAGUACCUGAAGAAUAAGGACCGGCUAACUACGUGCCAGCCGCCGCGGUAAGAC
rnacentral:rRNA from 1 species